UGGGGUAUGGUGUGUUGGGAGGUGCUUAUGGUGCUCUAGCUUCAGGGUUUCAGCAGUCUAUGGCUUAUGGAAGGGGACAGAUCCCUACUGGCAUGACAAUGGUGCCCAUGGUCUUACCCGAUGGACGACUUGGAUAUGUGCUGCAACAGCCUGAAGCACCUGUCUCAAGACCGCAGCAUGGGGGAAAA